AGUAAGAACAUACUCUGCAUCAGAGAGGGUUCAACAUUAACAACAAUGUCUGUAAAAACAGAAUCACAGCUGUCAAGAAGAGUGCUAUGCUGGUGGUACAGGCUCAGUGAUGGGAAAUUCAAAAAUUGCCACGGCCACCCCAACCUUCAGCAACCACCAACCUAAUCAGCUAGCAGACAUCAACAUCAAGGCAGGACCCUCCAACCUCCAGCAGGAAAAACAUUACCACUUGCUCAAGGCCCAG